rnacentral:rRNA from 1 species
AUGGGAGCAGGAGGAGGGCUCCCGUGGUGGCUGGCCACCACCGGGUGCUCGCCGUCGUCGUCUGGCUCCUUCGCCGGCAGGCUCGCAUUCCUCCUGCUCUCGCCGUGCCCGCAGCGCGCGCUCCUUGGCGCCAUCGACGUCUUCUUCCUCGCGGCCUCGCUCGUCCUCGCCCUCUGUCGCCGCGGCGCCGACGACGCGUCUCCUGAGAAGGAGCCACUGCUACCGUCGCCGACUCUCACUCCGACCGCGCCGUUCCGGGACACCGGCCGCCACGCCGUCGCGCUCGGGGCCUCCGCCCCCACCGCCGCGGCGUCCGCCGUCCUCCUUGCACCCGUGAUCUUCCUCCUGCCGGCAGCAGGCACGAAGCCGUGGCGUCUCAUGGAGUCCGCCUUCCUCGCCGUCCAGUUCGCCGCACACGCCGCGAUCGCAUGGACCGUGCUCGCCUCCGCUCACCCUCCGCACCUCUGUGUGUUUUGGAUCGCCACCGCCCUUGGUGCCGCGCUGUUCUCCGCCUCCGCGGCCGUCCGCUGCGCCGACGGCUCGCCGCUCCUCCCCGACGACGUCCUCGCCUUCGCCGGCCUGCUCGUGUCGCUUCCUCUCGCGUACGUGGCCAUCACCACCUACACGGCGCCGGCGCGUGAUGAAGAGGACGAACACGAACAGGACCAGAACCCCAGCGCGGCGGUGGCGGCGACGGCGACGCCGUACGUGACCGCGUCGUUCCUCUUGCGUGCGACCUUCAGCUGGAUCAACCCGCUCAUCUCCAAGGGGCACGCCAACGAGUCCCUCGCCGACACCGACGUCCCGCCGGUGUCGCUGGACCACCGCGCCGAGUCUGCGUACGCUCUGCUCGCGUCCAACUGGCCGGCGGCAACGGCAGCACGGGGGUGGCGGAGCCUGGUCGGCGUCGCGCUCUGGCUGUCCUUCUGGCCGCAGUUCCUGCUCAUCGCGGCGCCGGGGCUCGUGCAGCUCGCGGCCAUGUACGUCGGCCCGUCGCCCAUCGACCGUUUCGUCGAGUUCAUCCACCGCAGCGGCACGCCAUUGGAGGGCCUCCGACUUGUGGCCAUCCUGAUCGCCGGCAAGGCGGUCCAGACGCUGGCGUCGCACCACUACAACUUCCAGGGCCAGCUCCUGGGCAUGCGCAUCCGCGGCGCGCUGCUCUCUCACGGUGAUGUACCGCAAGUCGUUGCGGCUGUCCACCGGCGCGGCGCGCGUGCACGGCACGGGCGCCAUCGUGAACUACAUGCAGGUGGACACCUCGAUGGUGUCCGGCGCCAUGCACGGGCUGCACGGCCUGUGGCUGAUGCCGCUGCAGAUUGCGGUGGCCCUGUUCCUCCUGUACGUGUACCUGGGCCCGCCGUGCUCAUGACGCUCGCUGUGAUCACCGCCGUCGUCGUGGUCACCGCGUUCGCCAACAAGCUCAACCUGGGCUACCAGUUCAAGUUCUUCAGCGCCCGCGACAACAGCGUGAAGGCCCCGACGGAGAUGCUCGGCCAAAUGCGCAUGAUCAAGCUGCAGGCGUGGGAAGAGACCUUCGGCGGCAAGGUGCUGGAGCUCCGACGCGUCGAGGUGGGGUGGCUGAAGAAGGUGAUACUCUUCGUGUGCGCCACCAACGUGGUGUACUCCAGCGGGCCCAUCGCCAUGACGGUUCUCGUGUUCGGGACGUACCUCACCACCGGAGGGGAGCUCGACGCCGGCAAGGUGUUCACGGCCACCGCCUUCUUCUGCAUGCUCGAAGGCCCCAUGAGCAACUUCCCGCAGACCAUGGUGAUGUCCAUGCAGGCGCUUGUGUUGACGCUGUACAAGUUCCUGGCGGAUGCCGAGAUCGACACCACGGCGGUGGAGCGUCCUGGCAGUGACACCGCCGGGGAUGAGGUGGCCGCGAGGGUGCAAUGCGGGGUGUUCGCAUGGGACGUCCAGGGCAGCGAUGACGAGGAGAAGGAUGGCGGAGGGGUGGAGCCGGUGCUGAAAGGGAUCAAGGUGGAGGUGAGGAAGGGGGAGCUCGCGGUGGUGAUCGAAGCGGUUGGCUCCAGCAAGUCGUCGCUGCUGUCCUGCAUCAUGAGAGAGAUGCACAAGGUCUCCGGCAAGGAAUCACUUUGGAUAAGGUCAUCGAUAAAAGAAUUUAAAGAUAUCAUGGCUUAA